rnacentral:pre_miRNA from 1 species
AGGUAAAGAUUUCAUCCAUUUUUAUUAAAAUAGGUGUGACUAACAUAAUAACUAAACAGUUACAUAUAGCGUGCCCCGUGUAUCUCACUUUGAUAUAUAAUGAUCAGUUUUUAAUAGUAGAAAUGGAUGAAAUUUUUAACA